AAAUGGAGAAAACCUCCUUCUUCCAAAGAAGGACCCCCAAAUUAAAUGAAGUAUAGACUCCACCAAGGCUGAAUCUACUUUGAUAAGAAACAUCCCAGAGGGGCGCCUGGGUGGUUCAGUCAAUGUCCCGAACAACUACAACUGAAGUCAGUUCUCAGAGUACUAUAUUUCCUCAUCUUUUGCCAUGAACCAGAGAUUUCAUAUAAGAAUAAAC